rnacentral:rRNA from 1 species
CCUACGGGCGGCAGCAGUGAGGAAUAUUGGUCAAUGGGCGCGAGCCUGAACCAGCCAAGUCGCGUGAGGGAUGAAGGUUCUAUGGAUCGUAAUCCUCUUUUAUAAGGGAAUAAAGUGUGGGACGUGUCCUAUUUUGUAUGUACCUUAUGAAUAAGGAUCGGCUAACUCCGUGCCAGCAGCCGCGGUAAUACGGAGGAUCCGAGCGUUAUCAGGAUUUAUUGGGUUUAAAGGGUGCGUAGGCGGCCUUUUAAGUCAGCGGUGAAAGUCUGUGGCUCAACCAGAGAAUUGCCGUUGAGACUGGGGGGCUUGAGUAUGUUAGAGGCAGGCGGAAUGCGUGGUGUAGCGGUGAAAUGCGUAGAGAUCACGCAGAACACCGAUUGCGAAGGCAGCCUGCCAGGCCAUGACUGACGCUGAUGCACGAAAGCGUGGGGAUCAAACAGGAUUAGAUACCCCAGUAGUC